CUCUCUCCGGAAGCCCCCUCCUUUGCCCAGCUUCCUCCUCCUCCGUCGCUUCUCCUCCAUCGGCGGUCCGGCCGAAGCCGCUCACCUGGAGCCGGCCGAGGAGAGCCCAGGGCGGACGGUAUUGAACCAUCGAUCCCGCAUCGGCGGCCAUCUUGGGGGCGAUUGGAAGGCGGGAGAGAGUGAGUGAGGAGCGGGAGCCGGCCUGGACUUUUCUCCCUCCCUUCUCUCCCUUCGACGCGGCUUUCAUACUAAUCGAUCCUCGCCCGCCUUCCCCGCCUCACAACCUUGCAUUUUACCUCACAACAGCCCUGACAGGAUUUAGGAUUGACAAGAGCCUCUUAUUGAGAGGAAGCAACAUUAUGGGGUGCCCUGCUUUGAUCAGAUCGUACCUUGAAUGCUGUGUUCGGGACAUCACAGUGGAAGGAAUGUGUUGAUGGACUGGAACAUCUCCGGAAGAGGACAACCGAGAUGGUCAGACACCAAACCCUCAGUACCAUGGUGUUGAGGUUUAGCCUGGAGGAGAAAAUAUCCAGAGGUGAUGUGAUACACUUAUCUUUAACUAAAUGGAGGAGGGAUGCCAAAUAGAAGCACAUCAAGCUUGUUUUCUGCUAUUUUGGAAAUUAGAUCCCAACCCACUGUCAUCCCAUCCUUUGGCUGACACAGACAGGCCCUCUUGGACUCAAUGAGAGCCAUUAUCUCCACCAGCUUUGAAAUCCCUCCCUCCAAUGGUUAUUAAAUGAUUUAACCGGGUGUUGUUGGGUUGUUGGUUUUUUUCCCAUCUCUAUGAAUAAUUGAAGGGGUUGCUUGUUAAUGUCUAAACCGAUUACAGCAGGUGAUUUACUCCGCAUCUUCUUCCGGCUCAGCUCACCUCCACAAGAUUCGUCUCCCCACCCCAAGACAUCUGUAUCACACAGAAAUAAUUCAACGGUAAUGUGUUGUUGAAGGCUUUCAUGGCCGGAAUCACUGGGUUGUUGUGAGUAUUCUGGGCUGCUUGGCCAUGUUACAGAAGCAUUCUCUCCUGAUGUUUUGGCAGGCAUUCUCAGAGGUGAGGUCUGUUGGAAACUAGGCAAGGGAGGUUUGUGUAUUUGUGGAAUGAUGGCCAGGGUGGGAGAAAGAAUUCCACAGAUAUAUAAACCUCACUUGCCUAGUUUCCAACAAAUCUCACAACCUCUGAGGAUGCCUGCCAUAGAUAUGGGUGGAAUGUCAGGAGAGAAUGCUUCUGGAACAUGGCCAGACGGCCUGGAAAACUCACAGCAACCCUAAUUCAAUGGUAGUUUGCCUUGACUAUGACCAAACUGAGCAUGCUGGGUAAAAGCGCCCCCUGGUGGCACCAGUGGAGGAUUGCAGGGGCCGUGUAAUAUGGGGCAUGGCACAAAUCCGACAAUCAACCCACCUCAUGUGCUGAGAUUAGGAGGAGUACAGAAUUCCCAUUAAAGUGAAAAGACACAAAUAAAGAAAUCGCUUUUUUUUUUUUUUGCUUGGCUAGACAUUUCUAGGUCUUCCAGCACAACUCUUAUGGUCAGCUUCUGCUGGAAGCUGACCACAGAAUCACAUUGGAGGAUGCAGAGAUCCCUAGAGAGGCAUUUUCUGCAGAAAUCUCUAGGUCCUCUAGUACAACCAGAGGAAUCUGAGCAGAGGUUCCCCAAAAAAUCCCAAAGAACCUAAAAAUUCAAAUCAGAACAAUCAAAUCACAAAAGUCAAUAAUCAGGAAGAACUACUGCAUUCAAAAAGAGGGAAAGGAUUGGACUUGCCUCUGGUCUGCCUUGGGUCCCGUGCUGGACAAUUCUACACAUAAUAAAAGUGAAAAUAUGUAUGUGUGUAUGUGGCUGGGGUUUCCACUUAUACAGAAAAGCUCCCACUUUCAUAAAUGGCUUUAGUUCCCACUACUCAGGAGACAGCAAUGGCCCUCCCUCCAAUGACAUUGCAGGAUAUAGUGAGCGCCGUGAACAUGUCUAAGAACCCUGCCAAUGUCCACAAACACCCCAUGACUUACUCAAUCUACUGGAGGGGUUGGAGGGGACUGACUCACCAUAGUGGGAGUUGUAGUUCACCCUACAUCCAGAGAGCACACUGAACCUCACCCAUGAUGCAUCCAGAGCAAACUUGCCCAACAUCACAAACUUAAGUACUGAUGGAGUUUCUCGGGGUUAACCUGGCAUGAUGUCAGUUGUAGUUAAACCACAACCUUGCACAUUUUGUACAAUCAAAACUUUUUCAAACAACCCAGGCAAUGCUGGGCAGCCAAGCUAGUAGAGCAUAUAACUUAAAUAAGUAGAUAUGCAAUGUUGAACUGGGAGGGCUGGAGAGUUGGUAGCAAUGCCACUGAGUUGGUAAGCAUGAUGGGAGCAUCCCAUUACUCCUCUCAGAUCUGGGGAGUAUAUCAUCUUGGCUUUGUGGGCCCCUCCGUUCCCCCACAAUCCUUGCAUCGCUUCCAUUUUUGUCAUCGGCAUCCAGCAGAUGCUAAAUGUCUUUUCCCCCAGCUGUCUCUCCUUCUUUCCGCAACACCCUUCUAAACAACAAUUAGCGAGUGAUCUUUAAUUAGUUUUGCUAUUUGGCGCCUUUGAUGCGCUGAUCUUCUGCAGGGAUUGGGUUGAUGGCAACCUGUUUUAGAAAGGCUCAAGUCCAAAAUCUCACUGGGGUCAGUUUCACUUAGAAACACUGGCUGCUGGAGAGAUCUUUGCCAAUGGGACAGGGACAAAUGCAUUCUCCUCAUCCGCAUCCUGCUUUUUGCUCUUGAUCGAGACCCAAAGCAUCCAAUGAGCAAGCACCUAUGAUAAAUUCCAUUCUUCCUAGGCCUAGAGAUGCAUUUCCAUUUCUCGGCGGGUCACAAAGGAAGAUAUGCAAAUAACUCCACUCUCUUUAUUUAUUGCAGGAGGCGAUCUAUUCCUUUGCAUGAAAAUGAAAUUCAAUCAGGCAUGGCUGUUAAAUUAAGUCUGCCUCGACCCCUCAGGUACAAACACUCGUCUACCUCUACACACGCUCACACAAAUAUUCACCUAGGAAUCCCAAUGGUAGUCAUGGAGGAAAAGGCAAGAUGGUGGCGGGAGAAGGGGCCUUUGUGAAUGGGGCUUGCUGACACUCUUAUGGGCCACAGUAAUGCAAUAGGUUAAACCCUUGCACUGCUGACCUGAAGGUUGGCAGUUCAAAUCCGCGAGACAGGGUGAGCUCCCAUCUGUCAGCCCUAGCUCCUGCCAACCUAACAGUUCAAAAACAUACAAAUGUGAGUAGCUAAAUAGGUACCGCUUCAGCAGGAAAAGGCAAAGAGACACUCCAAGCAGUCUUGCCGGCCACAUGACCAGGAGGUGACAGCACAGGCUCCUUGGCUUGAAAAUGGAGAUGAGCCAGAGAUGAGCACUGCCUCCAGAAGCCAGAAAUGAAAGGAGAAGCCUUGCCUUUGUUUGUGUUUGUGUGUCGCAUGUGAUUGUAAAAGCAUUAAAUGUUUGCCUAUGUAUGUAAAAUGCUAUAAUCCACUCUGAGUCCCCUAGGGGAGGAGGGCGGAAUAUAAAUAAAGUGUAUUAUUAAUUAUUA